UGAGAUUCAAAGUCAUAUAUCCAUCCCACUGCCCAUAAAACACAUUUACUUAAGAAAUACCAUUGGUAUUUUAGUAUAUGGAGGUUGAAUGAGUUAUAACAACUUAGAAAACUAAAGAAAUGGAAAAGUUUUUUAAAAAGUGACCUCUAGGAAUAAUAAAAACGAGGGUGACAAAGGAAAAUUAAUCACCGUUAACCACAUUACAUUAGACAUAAGUAACCACAUUACUUAUAUCUACAUAGGAUACAAAUAUCUUCAUAAUAAUGUAAACACUGAAUAUUAUUAUCCAAAUUACAAUAUAGUUAUUUGGGGAAAGCAGGAAGAUAGGAUGGAGUGAGGGUAGGUGGAGAAAACAACAAACUCCUCAUUAUCUACGGUGGAAUUUAGUAGAUAAUGCCUAAAACAAAAAGUAGUAUAAAUACAAAAGCAUGUAAUGACAAAUUAACUACUGAAAGAAUCAGCUAACAGCCAAAAGUGUUUGCCCCUGGAGAAACAGGUGAGAUGAAGGCUAUGCUGUUUUUUCUAAAAAGAAAACAAAAACAACAACAACAAAAAACCUUGCAAACUUAACUUCUGAAGCUAUGUUCACAUAUUUGAUCAAAAUAAAACAUUUUAAAAAAUCAAUAGCUUGCCCACAUCCUGAUGAUCAACUAAAAAAUACAAUUAAAAAGAUUGCAUUAAAAAUAACAAAAAUUUUAAAAUACUUAAGAAAAAAUUCAACAAAAAUAUGUAACAUGUAGAUUAAGAAAUCAUUGCUACUUUACUGAAGGACCUAAGUAAAUGUAGAGAUAAAUGUUUUUCUAGAUUUUGGCCAUAUUAAUUCUUAAUUUGCUGGAUAAACGUAAACCCAAUUGUAACUAAAACCCAAGUAAUUCUAAGAAUUAUUUGGAAUAACAAAUGCACAGUAUUAUCAAUGAUAUUUUUUAAAUGAAACUUUGUUAAGUGACAAGCAUAGUUUCAAAACAAUUAUACAAUGACACCUCAAUACUACUGCCUAAAUAAAAGCAUUAAUGGUAACUUUACAUUUUAAUUUUAGUUGCUUGUAUUUUUCCUCUUUCUCUUCUUUUUUAGAAUCAAUAUAGGCUGCUUUUUAAAUAAAUAAUUAGCUAUCGAGAAAGAAAAAUAAAAGAAAGGCAGCUGAUAGGUGACUAAGUCUAUAGGUCAAAUGACUGCUACGCUUAUACUUUUUCUACCAUAUCACAUAAUCUCAAUAAUAAAUUUUCUUUGUUUUGAUCCCUUUGAUGUCUUUUCAGCCAUACCACUGUGGCAACAGUAAGACUGCCAACAAAGAAAAAGCAUAAGAAAUUAACCAAUUUAAGAGUGAAUAAAAUUCCACUACUGUAAGUCCUCCAACAAAAACAGCAGAGGAAAAAAUGGAAAGAAAAAGAAUCCAGUUGGUCAAAAGAACUUCCACAGGAUUAUUACAGAUAGGACACUAUCAAAUUGAGAUCAUAUUAGAAAGAACAGAUAUUACAAAACAGCACUUCAAAA
rnacentral:lncRNA from 10 species